CGCCUUCUCCUGAGGGCUGUGCUUUGAGUUUGGAGCAGGUGACCAGGCCCGAGUCUCCCCUGCCGGGUGGCGAGACUCCCCGAGGACACCGAUGAAGAAAACGAGACCCAGAGAAGAGAAGGAUUUCUUCAAGGUCACAUGGUGACGAUGUCACAGCCAGAACUAGAACUCAGGGCCCUUCGCGAACGGCUUGCUGGCCUUCCUGUUACACAUGGACCCCGAAGGUAAAUAAUGAUUGACUGUGGGUCCUGUGCCCUGCAGUGUGGGAGGAGCUCCAUGCUGUUACCUAAUUUAAUCUCUGGCCCCCAGGGAGAUAGGUAUUAUGGAUAAUCCCAUUUUAUAGCUGUGGAGGGUGAGGCUCAGAGAGGGAAAGAACACAACCAAGGUCACACAGCCAGCAAGGGCUGGAAAGGACUUUGAUCCCAGGUUGAUAGGCUCUGAAGCCAGUGCUUUUACCCCAUUUGCCCUGACUCUCCUGUGGUCUUCCUCUCUGGCCUUAGUGGACUGCAGUCCUGUUGGGUGUGUCCCUUGCUGUCCUUUAAUCUCUAC